AUUGAACGCUGGCGCAAUGCUUUACACAUGCAAGUCGAACGGCAGCACGGGGGCAGCCCUGGUGGCGAGUGGCGAACGGGUGAGUAAUACAUCGGAACGUGCCCGGUCGUGGGGGAUAACGUAGCGAAAGUUACGCUAAUACCGCAUACGAUCUGAGGAUGAAAGCGGGGGACCUUCGGGCCUCGCGCGAUCGGAGCGGCCGAUGUCAGAUUAGGUAGUUGGUGGGGUAAAGGCCUACCAAGCCGACGAUCUGUAGCUGGUCUGAGAGGACGACCAGCCACACUGGGACUGAGACACGGCCCAGACUCCUACGGGAGGCAGCAGUGGGGAAUUUUGGACAAUGGGCGCAAGCCUGAUCCAGCCAUUCCGCGUGCAGGACGAAGGCCUUCGGGUUGUAAACUGCUUUUGUACGGAACGAAAAGGCUCUGGCUAAUACCUGGGGCUCAUGACGGUACCGUAAGAAUAAGCACCGGCUAACUACGUG
rnacentral:rRNA from 1 species